rnacentral:snRNA from 1 species
AUCGCUUCUCGGCCUUUUGGCUAAGAUCAAGUGUAGUAUCUGUUCUUAUCAGUUUAAACAUUACCGUUACUGGCUUUUUCAUGAGAAAGAUAAUUUUUAACUUCUGUGCCAUAGGAAUCUAU